GCCAGCAGCCAUGUCACCCUGCAACUUACAUCUGGCCACCCACUGAAACUAAGCAGGUGUGAGCCUGUUUAAUACAUGGAUGGGAGACCUCCUGGGAAAAACUAAGGUUCCUGCUGGAA
rnacentral:rRNA from 1 species